GAUGAACGCUGGCGGCGUGCCUAAUACAUGCAAGUCGAGCGGACCAAAGAGAGCUUGCUCUCUGAGGUUAGCGGCGGACGGGUGAGUAACACGUGAGUAACCUGCCUGUAAGACGGGGAUAACUUCGGGAAACCGAAGCUAAUACCGGAUGAUAAAGAGAAACGCCUGUUUCUUUUUUGAAAGUCGGCCUUGUGCUGACGCUUACAGAUGGGCCCGCGGCGCAUUAGCUAGUUGGUGAGGUAACGGCUCACCAAGGCGACGAUGCGUAGCCGACCUGAGAGGGUGAUCGGCCACACGGGGACUGAGACACGGCCCAGACUCCUACGGGAGGCAGCAGUAGGGAAUCUUCGGCAAUGGACGAAAGUCUGACCGAGCAACGCCGCGUGAGCGAUGAAGGCCUUCGGGUCGUAAAGCUCUGUUGUCAGAGAAGAACAAGUACCGGAGUAACUGCCGGUACCUUGACGGUACCUGACCAGAAAGCCACGGCUAACUACGUGCCAGCAGCCGCCGUAA
rnacentral:rRNA from 1 species